CCUUGUACACACCGCCCGUCACACCAUGGGAGUGGGUUGUACCAGAAGUAGGUAGUCUAACCGCAAGGGAGACGCUUACCACGGUAUGGUUCAUGACUGGGGUG
rnacentral:rRNA from 1 species